rnacentral:rRNA from 1 species
UACGUAGGGUCCGAGCGUUGUCCGGAAUUAUUGGGCGUAAAGAGCUCGUAGGCGGUGUGUCGCGUCGGCCGUGAAAACUUGCAGCUUAACUGUGGGCGUGCGGUCGAUACGGGCAUCACUGGAGUUCGGCAGGGGAGACUGGAAUUCCUGGUGUAGCGGUGAAAUGCGCAGAUAUCAGGAGGAACACCGGUGGCGAAGGCGGCUCUCUGGGACGGUACUGACGCUGAGACGCGAAAGCGUGGGGAGCGAACAGG